rfam:Brachypodium distachyon strain Bd21 chromosome 1, whole genome shotgun sequence.
GUAGUACUCCACCCGUCUAACAAAUGAUGUAUCAAGUUUGUCAAAAUUUAGAUGCAUCUAGACAUGACUUAGUGUAUAAAUGCAUUCAAAUUUAGUCAAAGUUGAAACAUCUUUUGUCGGACGAAGUGAGUACAUU